rnacentral:rRNA from 1 species
CCUACGGGAGGCAGCAGUGAGGAAUAUUGGUCAAUGGACGAGAGUCUGAACCAGCCAAGUAGCGUGAAGGAUGACUGCACUAUGGGUUGUAAACUUCUUUUAUAUGGGAAUAAAACGUUCCACGUGUGGGAUUUUGUAUGUACCAUAUGAAUAAGGAUCGGCUAACUCCGUGCCAGCAGCCGCGGUAAUACGGAGGAUCCGAGCGUUAUCCGGAUUUAUUGGGUUUAAAGGGAGCGUAGGUGGAUUGUUAAGUCAGUUGUGAAAGUUUGCGGCUCAACCGUAAAAUUGCAGUUGAAACUGGCAGUCUUGAGUACAGUAGAGGUGGGCGGAAGUCGUGGUGUAGCGGUGAAAUGCUUAGAUAUCACGAAGAACUCCGAUUGCGAAGGCAGUUCACUGGACUGCAACUGACACUGAGGCUCGAAAGUGUGGGUAUCAAACAGGAUUAGAUACCCCAGUAGUC